AAUAAAUAUUAGUCUCCAAGAUCAUGAACUGAGAAUAGACUAGGAGUCAGUCAAGAUUUUCAAACAAUACUGCACCUGUUACUUUAUACCUAAAAAGGAAAUAAUUAUCUUCUACUAGUCAUAUUGCAAGAUUUAAAGUAUACUGUUGGUAUUUUUUUUUUUGAAAAUUAAUAGGAAUGAUGUAUGUACUUAUUGUGUUCUUUAUUGUUGUAUUUGUGUUGUAGUCAUUUGAUUCCAUUGAAUUGCAGCCAUUUUAGACUUAAUAGUCAUUUCAUUAAGAGACAUUUGACUUUUGGAUUAGAUAGACUUCAGAAGAGAUCAAUGUGUUGGUUUUCAACCAGAUAUGCAAUUAUGAGAUUGUAUAUUAUUUUGCGUAUAUGUAUGUAUGCUGAGAAGAUGAUCACUAGGAAAAACAUUAAGUGAAGAUACUUGUAACUUUAAGAUGCUAUUGUUUUGCAUAUAAUCAAUAUAUAUAGAUAUUUAUUUUGAAUUAUCCUUAUUAAAUCUACCAAAACAUC
rnacentral:sRNA from 1 species